CACAAGCAGUGGAGUAUGUGGUUUAAUUCGACGCAACGCGAAGAACCUUACCAAGUCUUGACAUCCUGCGACAGACAUAGAAAUAUGUUUUUCCUUCGGGACGCAGAGACAGGUGGUGCAUGGUUGUCGUCAGCUCGUGUCGUGAGAUGUUGGGUUAAGUCCCGCAACGAGCGCAACCCUUAUGGUCAGUUACUACGCAAGAGGACUCUGGCCAGACUGCCG
rnacentral:rRNA from 1 species